AUCUAAGCUUGUCAGCGCUUCCCUCCUCGUCUAUGACUCACCCAUCUUCAGGAGGCCCUCUAUUCGUUUUGACACAAUGACAACAGACUGAGCACAUAUAGUCGCUGAAGUCGGACUCCCAGGAGCUCUGCAGGAGCUGCUGCUGUCAGAUGGCUGCUUCUGUGGACAGAGACGUUGAAUGCAAGUCAAAAUGGGAGUUUGUGAAGGAGAAACUUCUUGAAUGGAACUCUGGCUGAGUUGCUCCCUUCCUUUGAAGAUGAUCUGAUUGACAAGGAGCUUCUUUCUCCUGGAUGGCGUCCCUGAUACCUCUCAUUGGACCACGGCUGAAAUUUCAACAUCACCUAAAAAAGUUGCUUGAGGUUCU